rnacentral:rRNA from 8 species
GGGUGCGAAAGAUGAGGCGAAGACCAGGAUUCUUGGAAACAGCGACAUCUCGAACGUCCCCUUCGG